rnacentral:rRNA from 1 species
GGGUUGUGAGGUUAAGCGACUAAGCGUACACGGUGGAUGCCCUGGCAGUCAGAGGCGAUGAAGGACGUGCUAAUCUGCGAUAAGCGUCGGUAAGGUGAUAUGAACCGUUAUAACCGGCGAUUUCCGAAUGGGGAAACCCAGUGUGAUUCGUCACACUAUCAUUAACUGAAUCCAUAGGUUAAUGAGGCGAACCGGGGGAACUGAAACAUCUAAGUACCCCGAGGAAAAGAAAUCAACCGAGAUUCCCCCAGUAGCGGCGAGCGAACGGGGAGCAGCCCAGAGCCUGAAUCAGUGUGUGUGUUAGUGGAAGCGUCUGGAAAGGCGUGCGAUACAGGGUGACAGCCCCGUACACAAAAAUGCACAUACUGUGAGCUCGAUGAGUAGGGCGGGACACGUGGUAUCCUGUCUGAAUAUGGGGGGACCAUCCUCCAAGGCUAAAUACUCCUGACUGACCGAUAGUGAACCAGUACCGUGAGGGAAAGGCGAAAAGAACCCCGGCGAGGGGAGUGAAAAAGAACCUGAAACCGUGUACGUACAAGCAGUGGGAGCACGCUUAGGCGUGUGACUGCGUACCUUUUGUAUAAUGGGUCAGCGACUUAUAUUCUGUAGCAAGGUUAACCGAAUAGGGGAGCCGAAGGGAAACCGAGUCUUAACUGGGCGUUAAGUUGCAGGGUAUAGACCCGAAACCCGGUGAUCUAGCCAUGGGCAGGUUGAAGGUUGGGUAACACUAACUGGAGGACCGAACCGACUAAUGUUGAAAAAUUAGCGGAUGACUUGUGGCUGGGGGUGAAAGGCCAAUCAAACCGGGAGAUAGCUGGUUCUCCCCGAAAGCUAUUUAGGUAGCGCCUCGUGAAUUCAUCUCCGGGGGUAGAGCACUGUUUCGGCAAGGGGGUCAUCCCGACUUACCAACCCGAUGCAAACUGCGAAUACCGGAGAAUGUUAUCACGGGAGACACACGGCGGGUGCUAACGUCCGUCGUGAAGAGGGAAACAACCCAGACCGCCAGCUAAGGUCCCAAAGUCAUGGUUAAGUGGGAAACGAUGUGGGAAGGCCCAGACAGCCAGGAUGUUGGCUUAGAAGCAGCCAUCAUUUAAAGAAAGCGUAAUAGCUCACUGGUCGAGUCGGCCUGCGCGGAAGAUGUAACGGGGCUAAACCAUGCACCGAAGCUGCGGCAGCGACGCUUAUGCGUUGUUGGGUAGGGGAGCGUUCUGUAAGCCUGUGAAGGUGUACUGUGAGGUAUGCUGGAGGUAUCAGAAGUGCGAAUGCUGACAUAAGUAACGAUAAAGCGGGUGAAAAGCCCGCUCGCCGGAAGACCAAGGGUUCCUGUCCAACGUUAAUCGGGGCAGGGUGAGUCGACCCCUAAGGCGAGGCCGAAAGGCGUAGUCGAUGGGAAACAGGUUAAUAUUCCUGUACUUGGUGUUACUGCGAAGGGGGGACGGAGAAGGCUAUGUUGGCCGGGCGACGGUUGUCCCGGUUUAAGCGUGUAGGCUGGUUUUCCAGGCAAAUCCGGAAAA